AGUCGAACGGAGAUACCUGUUAGAUCCCUUCGGGGUGACGAUGGACUAUCUUAGUGGCGGACGGGUGAGUAACACGUGAGCAACCUGCCUUACAGAGUGGGAUAACGUUUGGAAACGAACGCUAAUACCGCAUAACAUUAACUUAUCGCAUGGUAAGAUAAUCAAAGAAAUUCGCUGUAAGAUGGGCUCGCGUCUGAUUAGAUAGUUGGUGAGGUAACGGCUCACCAAGUCGACGAUCAGUAGCCGGACUGAGAGGUUGAACGGCCACAUUGGGACUGAGACACGGCCCAGACUCCUACGGGAGGCAGCAGUGGGGAAUAUUGCACAAUGGGGGAAACCCUGAUGCAGCGACGCCGCGUGAGGGAAGAAGGUUUUCGGAUUGUAAACCUCUGUCUUCAGGGACGAUAGUGACGGUACCUGAGGAGGAAGCUCCGGCUAACUACGUGCCAGCAGCCGCGGUAAUACGUAGGGAGCGAGCGUUGUCCGGAAUUACUGGGUGUAAAGGGAGCGUAGGCGGGACAGCAAGUUGAAUGUGAAAUCUAUGGGCUCAACCCAUAAACUGCGUUCAAAACUGUUGUUCUUGAGUGAAGUAGAGGUAGGCGGAAUUCCUAGUGUAGCGGUGAAGUGCGUAGAUAUUAGGAGGAACACCAGUGGCGAAGGCGGCCUACUGGGCUUUAACUGACGCUGAGGCUCGAAAGCGUGGGUAGCAAACAGGAUUAGAUACCCUGGUAGUCCACGCUGUAAACGAUGAUUACUAGGUGUGGGGGG
rnacentral:rRNA from 1 species